UACGAAGGGGGCUAGCGUUGCUCGGAAUCACUGGGCGUAAAGCGCACGUAGGCGGAUCUUUAAGUCGGGGGUGAAAUCCUGGAGCUCAACUCCAGAACUGCCUUCGAUACUGAGGACCUUGAGUCCGGGAGAGGUGAGUGGAACUGCGAGUGUAGAGGUGAAAUUCGUAGAUAUUCGCAAGAACACCAGUGGCGAAGGCGGCUCACUGGCCCGGUACUGACGCUGAGGUGCGAAAGCGUGGGGAGCGAACCGG
rnacentral:rRNA from 1 species